UACAGAGGGUGCGAGCGUUAAUCGGAGUUACUGGGCGUAAAGGGCGCGUAGGCGGUAGUACAUGUGUGAUGUGAAAGCCCCGGGCUUAACCUGGGAAGUGCAUCGCAAACUGUGCAACUAGAGUAGAUGAGAGGGUGGUGGAAUUUCCGGUGUAGCGGUGAAAUGCGUAGAGAUCGGAAGGAACGUCAAUGGCGAAGGCAGCCACCUGGCAUCAUACUGACGCUGAGGCGCGAAAGCGUGGGGAGCGAACAGG
rnacentral:rRNA from 1 species